UGGGGAAUAUUGCACAAUGGGCGCAAGCCUGAUGCAGCCAUGCCGCGUGUGUGAAGAAGGCCUUCGGGUUGUAAAGCACUUUCAGCGGGGAGGAAGGCGAUAAGGUUAAUAACCUUGUCGAUUGACGUUACCCGCAGAAGAAGCACCGGCUAACUCCGUGCCAGCAGCCGCGGUAAUACGGAGGGUGCAAGCGUUAAUCGGAAUUACUGGGCGUAAAGCGCACGCAGGCGGUCUGUCAAGUCGGAUGUGAAAUCCCCGGGCUCAACCUGGGAAAUGCGUUCGAAACUGGCAGGCUAGAGUCUUGUAGAGGGGGGUAGAAUUCCAGGUGUAGCGGUGAAAUGCGUAGAGAUCUGGAGGAAUACCGGUGGCGAAGGCGGCCCCCUGGACAAAGACUGACGCUCAGGUGCGAAAGCGUGGGGAGCAAACAGG
rnacentral:rRNA from 1 species